rnacentral:tRNA from 1 species
AUUAUAUUAGUUUAAUUUUAAAAAUUUCAGUUUGUGAUUCUGAAGAUUCAAAUUGAAUAUAAUA